GAAAGCUUUUGCUUUAGUGGCGAACGGGUGAGUAACACGUAAGAAUCUACCUUCAGGAGGGAGAUAACAAUUGGAAACGAUUGCUAAUAUCCCAUAUGCUGCAAAGUGAAAUAUUUUUUGCCUGAAGAUGAGCUUGCGUCUGAUUAGCUAGUUGGUAAGGUAAUGGCUUACCAAGGCAACGAUCAGUAGCUGGUUUGAGAGGAUGAUCAGCCACACUGGGACUGAGACACGGUCCAGACUUCUACGGAAGGCAGCAGUGGGGAAUUUUCCGCAAUGGGCGCAAGCCUGACGGAGCAAUACCGCGUGAAGGAUGAAUGCCUGUGGGUUGUAAACUUCUUUUAUUAGGGAAGAAAUAAUGACGGUACCUAAUGAAUAAGCAUCGGCUAACUUCGUGCCAGCAGCCGCGGUAAUACGGGGGAUGCAAGCGUUAUCCGGAAUUAUUGGGCGUAAAGAGUCUGUAGGUUGUUUAAUAAGUCUGCUGUUAAAUAUUAGAGCUUAACUCUAAGCAAGCAGUGGAAACUAUUAAGCUAGAGUAUGGUAGAGGCAAAGGGAAUUCCCAGUGUAGCGGUGAAAUGCGUAGAUAUUGGGAAGAACACCAGAAGCGAAAGCGCUUUGCUGGACCAUUACUGACACUCAGAGACGAAAGCUAGGGGAGCAAAUGGGAUUAGAUACCCCAGUAGUCCUAGCCGUAAACGAUGGAUACUAGAUGUUGCGCGUAUCGAUCCGUGCAGUAUCGUAGCUAACGCGUUAAGUAUCCCGCCUGGGAAGUAUGCUCGCAAGAGUGAAACUCAAAGGA
rnacentral:rRNA from 1 species